UACAGAGGGUGCAAGCGUUGUUCGGAAUUAUUGGGCGUAAAGGGCGCGUAGGCGGUUUGACAAGUCUGAUGUGAAAUCUCUGGGCUCAACCCAGAGUCUGCAUUAGAAACUGUCGGGCUUGAGUAUGGGAGAGGUGAGUGGAAUUUCCGGUGUAGCGGUGAAAUGCGUAGAUAUCGGAAGGAACACCUGUGGCGAAAGCGGCUCACUGGACCAUAACUGACGCUGAGGCGCGAAAGCUAGGGGAGCAAACAGG
rnacentral:rRNA from 1 species